UGGGGAAUAUUGCACAAUGGGCGAAAGCCUGAUGCAGCGACGCCGCGUGCGGGAUGAAGGCCUUCGGGUUGUAAACCGCUUUUGAUUGGGAGCAAGCGAGAGUGAGUGUACCUUUCGAAUAAGCACCGGCUAACUACGUGCCAGCAGCCGCGGUAAUACGUAGGGUGCAAGCGUUAUCCGGAAUUAUUGGGCGUAAAGAGCUCGUAGGCGGUUUGUCGCGUCUGGUGUGAAAGUCCAUCGCUUAACGGUGGAUCUGCGCCGGGUACGGGCAGGCUAGAGUGCGACAGGGGAGACUGGAAUUCCCGGUGUAACGGUGGAAUGUGUAGAUAUCGGGAAGAACACCAAUGGCGAAGGCAGGUCUCUGGGUCGUCACUGACGCUGAGGAGCGAAAAGCGUGGGGAGCGAAACAGGAUUAGAUACCCUGGUAGUCCACGCCGUAAACGGUGGAUGCUGGAUGUGGGGCCCAUUCCACGGGUUCCGUGUCGGAGCUAACGCGUUAAGCAUCCCGCCUGGGGAGUACGGCCGCAAGGCUAAAAACUCUAAAGUGAAUUGAC
rnacentral:rRNA from 1 species